CGGACCUCCGAUCAAGCAAGAGGACCCGCUGAAUUUAAGCAUAUAACUAAGCGGAGGAAAAGAAACUAACCAGGAUUCCCCCAGUAACGGCGAGUGAAGCGGGAAGAGCUCACGUUGUAAAUCUGACUUCGGUCCGAAUUGUAGUCUGGAGAGGCGUGACCAGCUGGAGACGGGGGCGAAGUCUCUUGGAAAAGAGCAUCAGGGAGGGUGACAAUCCCGUUCUUGCCCCCGCUUUCCAUGCGUACGGUCCGUUUUCUACGAGUCGAGUUGCUUGRGAUUGCAGCUCAAAGCGGGUGGUAAAUUCCAUCUAAAGCUAAACACGGGUGGGAGACCGAUAGCGAACAAGUACCGUGAGGGAAAGAUGCAAAGAACUUUGAAAAGAGAGUUAAAGAGUGCCUGAAAUUGCUGAAAGGGAAGCGAAGGAAACCAGUGUCUGGAGGUUCCGCUUCUCCCUUGUCCCUCGGGGCAUGGGUUUGCGUUUCCGCCGUGGCCAGGGCCGGGUAGUGUUGCGGGAGUCUGCGCUUCGGAAGGUAGCAUCUCUUCGGAAUGUGAAGACCGUGGCGUGUCGUCGCGACGCUGGCUGGUUCUGACGAAAUGGUUUUCUUUACCCCGUCUUGAAACACGGACCAAGGAGUCUAACAUGCCCGCGAGUACAGGGGUGUUCAAACCCCCGUGCGCAGUGAAAGUGAAUGCAGGUGGGAAGCCGCAAGGUGGCACCAUCGACCGACCAUGUCUCUUCGGGGGCGAGGUUUGAGUGUGAGCGUGCAUGUUGGGACCCGAAAGAUGGUGAACUAUGCCUGAAUAGGGCGAAGCCAGGGGAAACUCUGGUGGAGGCUCGUGGCGAUUCUGACGUGCAAAUCGAUCGUGAGAUUUGGGUAUAGGGGCGAAAGACUAAUCGAACCAUCUAGUAGCUGGUUCCCUCCGAAAUUUCCCUCAGGAUAGCUGCAACCUGCGUUCAGUUUUAUCAGGUAAAGCGAAUGAUUAGAGGCUGCUGGGAAGUAACUUCCUAGCCCUAUUCUCAAACUUUAAAUGGGUAAGAGACCGGGGUCGCUUAAUUGGACCCUGUGUUGGAAUGAAGGUUGCUAGUGGGCCA
rnacentral:rRNA from 1 species